GAGCGCCGUAGCAAUACGGAGCGGCAGACGGGAGAGUAACACGUGGGAACGUACCCUUUGGUUCGGAACAACCCAGGGAAACUUGGGCUAAUACCGGUAUAAGCCCUUACGGGGUAAAGAUUCAUCGCCGAAGGAUCGGCCCGCGUCUGAUUAGCUAGUUGGUGGGGUAAUGGCCCACCAAGGCGACGAUCAGUAGCUGGUCUGAGAGGAUGAUCAGCCUCACUGGGACUGAGACACGGCCCAGACUCCUACGGGAGGCAGCAGUGGGGAAUAUUGGACAAUGGGCGCAAGCCUGAUCCAGCCAUGCCGCGUGGGUGAUGAAGGCCCUAGGGUUGUAAAGCCCUUUCGGCGGGGAAGAUAAUGACGGUACCCGCAGAAGAAGCCCCGGCUAACUUCGUGCCAGCAGCCGCGGUAAU
rnacentral:rRNA from 1 species